rnacentral:rRNA from 1 species
UCCUACGGGGGGCAGCAGUGAGGAAUAUUGGACAAUGGGCGCAAGCCUGAUCCAGCCAUGCCGCGUGCAGGAUGACGGUCCUAUGGAUUGUAAACUGCUUUUGUACAGGAAGAAACACUCCCUCGUGAGGGAGCUUGACGGUACUGUAAGAAUAAGGAUCGGCUAACUCCGUGCCAGCAGCCGCGGUAAUACGGAGGAUCCAAGCGUUAUCCGGAAUCAUUGGGUUUAAAGGGUCCGUAGGCGGGCUAAUAAGUCAGUGGUGAAAUCUCCCGGCUCAACCGGGAAAUGGCCAUUGAUACUGUUAGUCUUGAAUUAUUAGGAAGUAACUAGAAUAUGUAGUGUAGCGGUGAAAUGCUUAGAGAUUACAUGGAAUACCAAUUGCGAAGGCAGGUUACUACUAAUGGAUUGACGCUGAUGGACGAAAGCGUGGGUAGCGAACAGGAUUAGAUACCCGCGUAGUCCG